rfam:Trichobilharzia regenti genome assembly, scaffold: TRE_scaffold0004945
GUACUCCUGAAGAGUCCCAAACUAGGACGAAACAGCUGUCCAGUAC